GACGAACGCUGGCGGCGUGCUUAACACAUGCAAGUCGAGCGGUAAGGCCCUUUCGGGGGUACACGAGCGGCGAACGGGUGAGUAACACGUGGGUGACCUGCCCUCAGCUCUGGGAUAAGCCUGGGAAACCGGGUCUAAUACUGGAUAUGACUCCAUGACGCAUGUUGUGGGGUGAAAGCCUUGUGCGGCUGAGGAUGGGCCCGCGGCCUAUCAGCUUGUUGGUGGGGUGANGGCCUACCAAGGCGACGACGGGUAGCCGGCCUGAGAGGGCGACCGGCCACACUGGGACUGAGACACGGCCCAGACUCCUACGGGAGGCAGCAGUGGGGAAUCUUGCGCAAUGGGCGAAAGCCUGACGCAGCGACGCCGCGUGAGGGAUGACGGCCUGGUU
rnacentral:rRNA from 1 species